CACGUAGGGGGCAAGCGUUGUCCGGAAUCAUUGGGCGUAAAGAGCUCGUAGGCGGCCCAGUAAGUCGGGUGUGAAACCCUCAGGCUCAACCUGGGGACGCCACCCGAUACUGCUGUGGCUAGAGUCCAGUAGGGGAGUGUGGAAUUCCCGGUGUAGCGGUGAAAUGCGCAGAUAUCGGGAGGAACACCAGCGGCGAAGGCGGCACUCUGGGCUGGUACUGACGCUGAGGAGCGAAAGCGUGGGUAGCGAACAGG
rnacentral:rRNA from 1 species